CGGAGUAUAGCGCAGUCUGGUAGCGCACCUCGUUCGGGACGAGGGGGUCGGGUGUUCGAAUCACCCUACUCCGACCA
rnacentral:tRNA from 1 species